GACGAACGCUGGCGGCGUGCCUAAUACAUGCAAGUCGAGCGAGCGGAACUAACAGAUUUACUUCGGUAAUGACGUUAGGAAAUCGAGCGGCGGAUGGGUGAGUAACACGUGGGGAACCUGCCCCAUAGUCUGGGAUACCACUUGGAAACAGGUGCUAAUACCGGAUAAGAAAGCAGAUCGCAUGAUCAGCUUUUAAAAGUCGGCGUAAGCUGUCGCUAUGGGAUGGCCCCGCGGUGCAUUAGCUAGUUGGUAAGGUAAAGGCUUACCAAGGCGAUGAUGCAUAGCCGAGUUGAGAGACUGAUCGGCCACAUUGGGACUGAGACACGGCCCAAACUCCUACGGGAGGAAGCAGUAGGGAAUCUUCCACAAUGGACGCAAGUCUGAUGGAGCAACGCCGAGUGAGUGAAGAAGGUUUUCGGAUCGUAAAGCUCUGUUGUUGGUGAAGAAGGAUAGAGGUAGUAACUGGACUUUAUUUGACGGUAAUCAACCAGAAAGUCACGGCUAACUACGUG
rnacentral:rRNA from 1 species